UUUAACAGCUCUCUCUGUCACAUCAGCAAAACCAAAGACAGAAAAAGAAUAAAGUGUACCGUCACUUUGAAAUAAACAAAUACAUACAAGGAAGUACAAUGUAUCUUGUCUGGAUUUUUGGAUUAUUCGUGAUUCUCUUUGCUGAUGCUGAGAGUUCUCCAUAUGAGGCCGUUCAUGAUACUGUACAGGCGGUCACCUCCUAUGACAGUGAGGACAAAACCUGUGAUUCUUUCAAGAUGAAUCUAAAAUGUUGUGUAUGCGUCAGUAUGCUAUCAAAAUAUUUACCCGUAAUAAAUGCUCUGAUUGACGAGAAAAUAAACACAAUAUGCAGUGCCAACCGUUUUUUCAAGGCGCCAUGCAAAUUCUUCGCCAACAAGUUUAAAAGAAAGGUUGUUAACGGAUUUUUCCCAAAACAAAACCCUCAACUAUCCUGCGUUAAAUACAAAAUGUGCUAAUUCUGGGAUUGAAUAAACCUAUAACAAGUCAGCCAAAGUACCAGCUCUUUAGAUAAGAUUGCUCCUUUGUUUGUUUUGGCAUGAGCUAAUAAAGGUUUGAAUGCAAAAGUGGCUUUCAUUCUGUUUUGUUAUAAAUACACAUAAAAUGCAUUUACAUUAAGAGAAAAGGAAGCAACGUCUGGAAUGAAAUGUGUCACGAUACUGAUGGUUAUUUAGACAUUUACACUGUGUCAUUUAGUGAUUUAAAAUACCACCUUUAAUUCAAUACAUCAAAAUUCAGCUAUUCGUGAUUCAAGAGUUUAGGUACAAUAUUAUGGACUGUUAUGUCAACUGAAGAGACAGUCAGUGUAAAAAAUGCUGACAGAAGCUGUUAUGAAAGCACUUUGACACUUUGGUCGACAAUGGUUUUGGUGACCUGAACAUCAGCACUCCAAAACACUUGCGUAGACAUUUAGUAUCUUCAGCGUUCUUCAUAACUGUGAAGAAGAGGAGCACAGACGAACACAAGAGAGUCUUCAACCUAAAAUCUUCACCCGAACUAUUCAAGAAAGCGGAUGCGUUUUAGCUAAGCGUCUUAUUAAGUAGACGAUCUGAAGGAUAAUGUCACCUGUUUUUCAUUUUGGACUGCUUAUGGCGUGCUCAGUUCUUGUUGGGUGUAGCAGCAUUACUAACAAGGCACAAUGGAAGAGCACGCUGGAGAGACAAAUGUUAAACAUUCCCGAAGAAUCCGAAAUAAGUAAUGAACUGAACAUAGAGAUCUCUGAGAUGAAUGCAAUAAUCUGCUGGUUUUGCAAGAAGUCAGUUCAUGAAAUCAAGCGUGUGAUUCAACAUGAAAUUAAAAUGG